rfam:Procavia capensis cont1.647566, whole genome shotgun sequence.
CUUACGGUAUGCUAAGUGACCACUGGACCCCAAAAAAUACUGACGGGUGAAUACACAGGGGUGAGGGGGUUGGAAGGACAUUGAAGGACCAGGAUCUCAGUGAGGCCCCAAGAAUGCUCACAGGAGGGGCCUCGGAUCCUGACUGCGGAGGGAGGGGCCAAGGAAGGAUUCCUGGAAGAAGGAGGACCUAAGCUGAGUGUUUCUAUUUUUAAUUUUUACUGGUUUCCUAAAACAUAAAAGU